GAAGUGAAUGCUGUGUAAACAACUUGUUACUUUUUGUGGCGAUUUAUAUUCAUGGUCAGGUCUGAUGUUUUUUUUAUUAAAAUCCCCACAUAAUCGAAGUAAUGUCCAGUAAAAUUUCGUCAAUAAUUAUUUGAUUGUAUUCAUUAGGUAUUUCUAUUCUGGAUAUAAUACCUUAACAUAUCGAUUAGUGUCAAGUUUUAUUCUUAGAACGUACAAAGCAGUCUUCAGAUAACAAUAGCUUAUAACAGGUAAUAUUCAUGUAUAAAUUCUACGUUUAUUAAAUUUAUCAUUAUUACUCUUGCACAUAUAUUUAUCACAGGUGUAGUUUGCACGAUAUUUAGAGAACCUUCUAUUUUAUAAAUCUACAUGAAAUAUCUUUUCAUAGCGAAUAUACCCAGCGUGUCAGAUUUUGGCCGCAUUAAUCCAGCGUUUGCUACAUGAAAGGCUGUCAAAAUCCAAUACACCAAGCACAUAGAGGUCCAAAAAGGUUCUUGUACGGUUUGAGUCCUAUUCCUUUGGAACAUGUCCCAAGUCAAAGUUAGGAAUAUUAAGUAACACUCGGUGGGCUGAGUCUACAUUACGAAACAGAAAGCCAUCAACCCUAUAAGAAUUUUGUUAGUCCCUGUACAGGAAAAUAACAUUCAAUUAAAACUGUAUUGCUAUUUAGGCUAAAUUAGGAGAAAGUAUUUAAAAAUUUAAUGUAUAAACUAACCCCAGGAUGCAGUAAAAGUGUAAUAAUUUAUUACAAACCGCAUAAUAUGUAAGUAUGAGGAUAAAGGGAA